UCCUACGGGAGGCAGCAGUAGGGAAUCUUCCACAAUGGACGAAAGUCUGAUGGAGCAACGCCGCGUGAGUGAAGAAGGGUUUCGGCUCGUAAAGCUCUGUUGGUAGUGGAGAAAGAUAGAGGUAGUAACCGGCCUUUAUUUGAAGGUAAUUACUUAGAAAGUCACGGCUAACUACGUGCCAGCAGCCGCGGUAAUACGUAGGUGGCAAGCGUUGUCCGGAUUUAUUGGGCGUAAAGCGAGUGCAGGCGGUUCAAUAAGAGUUGAGUAGAA
rnacentral:rRNA from 1 species